GACAGAGGAUGCAAGCGUUAUCCGGAAUGAUUGGGCGUAAAGCGUCUGUAGGUGGCUUUUUAAGUCCGCCGUCAAAUCCCAGGGCUCAACCCUGGACAGGCGGUGGAAACUACCAAGCUGGAGUACGGUAGGGGCAGAGGGAAUUUCCGGUGGAGCGGUGAAAUGCGUAGAGAUCGGGCAGAACACCCGUGGCCGAAGGCGGCCGGCUGGGCCGGAUCCUGGACGCUGAGGCGCGAAGGCGUGGGGAGCGAACGGGG
rnacentral:rRNA from 1 species